UUAUUCCUCUCCUCUUGUUCAGUCGAUCUCGGUUUCAAGCUUCAACUUUCAACGUCGUGCUGUGUGUGUGAAACCACCAUGAUUGAUUGAUUGGAAUAUUCUUCGAUCAGACAGACGCCAAAUCUUCCUGACGGUAAACUGCAUUCUCGAUUGAUCGAUUGUUUGUUUGUGUACUCAUCAGUGCCAAACGCCCAGACUUAGUCCUUCCUGCUGCGCUGAUUGAUGUAGCUUCUUUGGCUAGGAAGAACCCAUCGGCACUUUCACGUCCGGUAAGUGUUUGAUGAAAUGUCUCAGUGAGUAAGUGUUUUAAAAGGCUCUUGUAUCUGUCUUUUUUAGUCACUUGUUUAAUGAUUUUCGUUGAGAUUAGUCAUUCUGAAGUGAUAUUCUUGAUGGGUAUGUAAGAAAUCUUGGAGAUACGUUCCUAUUUUCAACUAUUGUUGGUAGAUUAACCCACAUUCAGAUCUUUAUUUCUUGUGAAUCGUUAGGUGAUGGAAGGAACCUUCUUGCUUUCUUGUUACGGUGAUAUAUUGAAGGAACAAAUAUGAAUUGUUUGUAAUUUGUUUACGAAUUGAUUGGUGUUAUAUGCAGUCGGGGAAUCAUUGCAUCUGUUUGAGGAAUAAAACUACUAGGCAAUGCAAAAGAUGGCACUUGGAGGGGCCGUCUAAAAUCUAAAGGCUAAAACUCACAGACAUCAAGAUUGACAUUAAAAGAGUCCCUAAGAAGAAAACCAUGGUUGCUGGUAUAGAUGUGAAGAACAAGUGAAAGAGCCGUUCUUAGGGAAGAAAGAUUAUCUUCUAAUUUGUAUGUUCUUG